CUCUCUGCCACUCCACUAUGUGAAGAAGGUGCUUGCUUCCCCUUCGCCUUCUGCCAUGUCUAAAAGUUUCCUGAGGACUCCCCAGCCAUGCUUCCUGUACAGCCUGUGGAACUGGCAGAGAGAUCCGGAGCUGCAUCCCCUGGUUAUACUGCCCACCAAGGCUGAGCCAGAGAAAGCAGCCCCACUGAGGCCCAUGACAUCUGGAUUCUUCGUCUCGUCAAAUGUCAACACCCUCGUAAAUGUAAAACGGACUCCAAUUCUUUUCAUUUUUCUUGAUUGCAGGAUAAGAAAGUUCCUCUGAGAUUAAGACUGAGAAAGGUCUUAAAAGCCAAGACUCCAAAUGGCAUCAGGAAACCCAGGCUCUUCGAAAUAUGCAGUGAAAAAUGAAACCCUUGCAAGAUGAGACAUUUGAUAAAGAAGAAAACAUCAAAUUUUCUUGAAGCUUUCCUCUCACUGUAACUCUGCCUCCUUGGAUUGAAGCUACAGAGAAGAAUGCAGCCUGCGGGUGCUCAUGCCUGAGCAUCAUCUCCUCUUUUCCACCUGCUGAGCUAUGUCUAAAUAGACAUCCUCUACCUUUGGCCCAAAACUUUCUGUUCCUGAAUAGAAAGAACAUUCUUGUCAUAUCAAGAGUUCUGGGAUAUUCUGGGAGCAGUUUAGAGCUUUCAAUCAGUAUAAAGUUUCUUUUCUCAUGAAAAGAUCUUGCCACAGGGGAUGAGAAACAAGCUAUUGAGCAUCUAAUAUAUGUGUAUACCAUGCUAAUCAAUUGUACAUACUUCAGUCUAUUUAAUUAACAGAAACACCCUCCAAGGAAGUCUUAUCCCCCUCAAUUAAGUAGAUUAAAAAUAAACGUCUUGGAGAAGAUAAGGUGAUUGAGCUUGUAAGAGAGCCAUGCCUUUUGCACUAAACUACACAGACCUAAUCCCUGUACAUAUAUCUGCCUUCCAUUCCCAAGAUCUCUUGGUAGGGUCUUCCAGAGAUCUUCUAGGAAUGUACUUAAUAACUGGUUCUUCCAUUAUUUUUCUACCAUUGAACUUGAAGAAGAUGUGACUGGGGAAUAAAGGCAAAGCCAAGCAUGAGAAGGUAGAUCUGAAACAGGAAUGUUAGACAUGGAAUACAAGAGGCAGAGCAAGAGUAAGCAAGAUAGAUAAUCCUGUAAUCCUUCACAUGGGAGGAAAGGUUGUAGUAACAACUCCAUUCUAACAAGCACAGAUAGUACACAGGUUGUUUUUCAUUAAACUUGUGAGAGAAAGAGACACAUCUCUAGAUAUAUUAUUGGAGUGGUCAAAA
rnacentral:lncRNA from 1 species